UAGUUUGUUUGAUGGUAACUA
rnacentral:siRNA from 1 species